UACGUAGGGACCAAGCGUUGUUCGGAUUUACUGGGCGUAAAGGGCGCGUAGGCGGCUUAACAAGUCACUUGUGAAAUCUCCGGGCUUAACUCAGAACGGCCAAGUGAAACUGUCAAGCUAGAGUGCAGAAGGGGCAAUCGGAAUUCUUGGUGUAGCGGUGAAAUGCUUAGAUAUGACAUAGAACACCAAUUGCGAAGGCAGCUGGCUACACAAUUAUUGACACUGAGGCACGAAAGCGUGGGGAUCAAACAGG
rnacentral:rRNA from 1 species